CUCAUCUCUACUCAGAUAUGUGCAUCAACUAUUGAUAAUUAUAAGAAGUCCAGGGUUCUUCAGGAAUAUCUAUCUAUUCAGGAUUUUGCUGCCUGGAUUGGCCUUUUUUGGUGCAUAUUCUGGGAAAAAUUGAGUAGGGGUAUCUGGAUCCACGAAGUGGCAUCUGAUCCCUGCCUUGAUAUCUUCAGGGAGCUCAGAACUCAGAUCUUAAAAUGGCAAAGGAUGUAGCAUUUCCUGGAAUGGCUCAUGACAGAUAUUCUUCCUCUGAGUACUAGUUUAGACUUACAGUGGGAGGAAAUCCCAGCAGAUAACAGGAAAAAAUAGUUUUGAUUUUAAGAAGAAAAGAGCUUAAAAGGAAACAGGAAGCUGAUGUUGGCAGUCUGACCUGUGCUGCAUGAGGAAUCUGAUUUCAAAAGCCUUCCCAAAUGCAGGCUUAAGGGAUGCAAACUGCCAUGACGUUUGCAGCAAUUGAGGAAUUCUGUCAUUGGCUCACACUGCUCUCUCUUUUAUAGGAAAGUGAAAGCAUAAGACUUAGUAUGUCACUGUUAUGUGCUUAUGCAUUCUUGAUCCUACAAAAACUGCAAAAAAAAAAAGACUAUGAAAAGGUCAGAGUCCACCAAGAAAUGCAGGUGUUCAGCAGAGCUCUGGAAGCGAAUAGGAGGAGGUCACCAGUGCUAUG
ensembl:lncRNA